rnacentral:rRNA from 1 species
UUACUAUAGCUUGACACUGAACAUUGAGCCUUGAUGUGUAGGAUAGGUGGGAGGCUUUGAAGCGUGGACGCCAGUCUGCAUGGAGCCGGCCUUGAAAUACCACCCUUUAAUGUUUGAUGUUCUAACGUGGACCCGUGAUCCGGGUUGCGGACAGUGUCUGGUGGGUAGUUUGACUGGGGCGGUCUCCUCCUAAAGAGUAACGGAGGAGCACGAAGGUUGGCUAAUCCUGGUCGGACAUCAGGAGGUUAGUGCAAUGGCAUAAGCCAGCUUGACUGCGAGCGUGACGGCGCGAGCAGGUGCGAAAGCAGGUCAUAGUGAUCCGGUGGUUCUGAAUGGAAGGGCCAUCGCUCAACGGAUAAAAGGUACUCCGGGGAUAACAGGCUGAUACCGCCCAAGAGUUCAUAUCGACGGCGGUGUUUGGCACCUCGAUGUCGGCUCAUCACAUCCUGGGGCUGAAGUAGGUCCCAAGGGUAUGGCUGUUCGCCAUUUAAAGUGGUACGCGAGCUGGGUUUAGAACGUCGUGAGACAGUUCGGUCCCUAUCUGCCGUGGGCGCUGGAGAACUGAGGGGGGCUGCUCCUAGUACGAGAGGACCGGAGUGGACGCAUCACUGGUGUUCGGGUUGUCAUGCCAAUGGCACUGCCCGGUAGCUAAAUGCGGAAGAGAUAAGUGCUGAAAGCAUCUAAGCACGAAACUUGCCCCGAGAUGAGUUCUCCCUGAGACUUAGAGUCUCCUGAAGGAACGUUGAAGACGACGACGUUGAUAGGCCGGGUGUGUAAGCGCAGCGAUGCGUUGAGCUAACCGGUACUAAUGAACCGUGAGGCUUAACCUU